rnacentral:tRNA from 1 species
GGCUCCAUAGUGCAGUGGUUAACACAUCUGCUUUACAUGCAGAAGGUCCCGAGCUCGCACACCAGGUGGAGCCA